AGCUUAAUGCGUACAAUUUUCCAGGCCUUAAUGAAACUUGUUCUAUUAGUAGCAUCCGUAAACUGAGAAGUUUGCAAAGAUGAGGUUUCAUAAUGGUUUAACAUCUAAAGUCCAAUUCAGGUUUUAAGUUCACCUAGUAUUUUGUUUUGAUUUUAUGAUUUUUAGGGUAAUUUUCUGUAUUUUCAUGGUUUUACAGUCAUUUAUUUGUAACAUGACAUAGCAUACAAGUUUUUAUUCUAACUUUUUUAUUUUCACUUUAACUUUCUUAUACAUGAAGUUAGUGGGGCAAGUCUUUUGGAAGCAUUAUAUGUUCAUGGUGUUCUAUAUAACUGGUAUUAUUUUACCUAGUGGACAAAUUAUGUAUUCCUGGAACAGACCGUGCUGACAUGUUGCAGUACUAGUUUCAGUGUACUACUUUAAGUAAACUCUCGUGUAACUAUGUUUAUGAUUGGUCAGGAUGACCCGCUGGUUUUUGAAUGUGGUUUUAAAACGAGUGUUGCAUUCUCAGUUUUUUUACUUCUGAAGAAGUUUGCAUAUUCUAGCAAAUGAAAAGCGCUUCAAGUUCAAAUUUAAUAAAUCUUUGGUGUUUAACUCA